AACAUGUUGAAUUGUCAGGGUUUCCAUGAAAGAAACUAGGUGCUAUUUUGCAUGUCUGAGAUGGAGAUUAAGGUGCUGCAUCCUAGAAAGUGUGGACAGCAAGGUUUACAUUGUACAGUUAGCAGCUUCAAGGCUACAGUGACAUGGACAAGCAACCAUUGUCAAUGACAACAUUGAUCAAGCAUGUCAUAACCUGCCAGAUAGAAUAGUGACAUAUUGA